rnacentral:rRNA from 1 species
AUCAAAAAAAAGAAAUGCUUUAGGUGGAUACCUAAGGACUCAAAGAUGAUGAAGGGCGCGGAAACCUGCGAAAAGUUCUAGUCAGUUGGAAGCAAACGUUGAUCUAGAAAUUCCCGAAUAGAGCAAUCUUCAAAACGACUCAUAAAAUUCAUAUAUGAGUUCGAAUGAACGUAGUGAACUGAAACAUCUUAGUAACUAUAGGAAAAAAAAGCAAACGCGAUUUCCUUAGUAGCGGCGAGCGAAACGGAAGAAAGCCUAAACGGAUUGAUUUCCGGGUUGGGGGAGCCUAUCUCAAAAAAAGAAGGGGAAAGCAGCUGAAACCUGCACCAAAGAUGGUUAAAGUCCAGUUUUCCUUCUGAUAUAAUGGGACAAUCCCGAGUAGCUUGGGGCACGUGAAAUCCCUUGUGAAUCAACGAGGACCACCUCGUAAGGCUAAAUACUCUUGAGUCACUGAUAGUGAAAAGUACCGCGAGGGAAAGGUGAAAAAGAACCCCUAAAGGGGAGUGAAAAAGAAAAUGAAACCUAAAGCAAUCUAUCUGUGGGAGGCAGUCAACUGCUGACCGCAUGCCUGUUGAAGAAGGAGCCGGCGACUCAGAAUUUUUGGCGCGGUUAAAGAAAUUUUCUGGAGCCCGAGUGAAAACAAGUCUAAAAAUGGCGAAAGUCAAAAAUUCUGGACCCGAACCCGGGUGAUCUAACCAUGACCAGGGGGAAGCUGAGGUAAAACUGAGUGAACGCCCGAACCGACCGAUGUUGAAAAAUCGGCGGAUGAGUUGUGGUUAGGGGUGAAAUGCCAAUCGAACCCGGAGCUAGCUGGUUCUCCCCGAAAUGCGUUUAGGCGCAGCAAUGGUCGAUGCACUCUUAAGAGGUAGAGCACUGUUUCGGUGCGGGCCAGUCAAAUGGUACCAAACUGUGGCAAACUCCGAAUACUUAAUAUCGAUGCCGACCGUAAGUGAGACUUUGGGGGAUAAGCUCCAAAGUCGAAAGGGAAACAGCCCAGAUCAUCAGCUAAGGCCCCUAAAUAAUCACUAAGUGUAAAAGGAAGUAUCAACGCGGAAACAGCCAGAAGGUUCGCUUAGAAGCAGCUAUCCUUGAAAGAAUGCGUAAUAGCUCACUGGUUAAAGAAAGCGUAGAUGCGCCGAAAAUGUCCGGGACUAAGUGAUUUGCCGAAGCUAUGAGAGAUGUUCUCCGAACAUUUCGGUAGGGGAGCGUUCUGUUUUAGGUGAAGACUCAUUGAAAAAGAGGUUGGAUGAAACAGAAGUGAGAAUGUUGGCUUGAGUAACGCACACAUUGGUGAGAAUCCAAUGCCCCGUAAACCUAAGGUUUCCUCUACAAGGCUCGUCCAUGGAGGGUUAGUCAGGACCUAAGAUCAGGCUUAAAAGCGUUAUCGAUGGAAAACAGGCCAAUAUUCCUGUACUUAUUUAAAUUUGGUGACAAAGGACGAAGGAGACACUCAUGGAUUACAUAAUGGUUGUAAUGGAAAUGCUCAAUACACAAUUUAAGCACAAAAACUUGAUUGGUUCAAUAAAGGCAUGAGACGGCACUUGACUUUUUUUAAACUCAAGAGCUCCAUAAUAAAGUGUCACACUUCCAAGAAAAUUUUGAGACACUUUACAAUUUAAAUAACCUGUACCUUAAACCGACACAGGUAGGUAGGUUGAGAAAACUCAGGGGCGCGAGAGAACUCUCUCUAAGGAACUCGGCAAAAUAGCCCCGUAACUUCGGGAGAAGGGGUACCUCUGUUCAGCAGAGGUCGCAGUGAACAGGUUUCUUGAACCGUUUAUCAAAAACAUAGGUCUCCGCAAAGUCGUAAGACAACGUAUGGGGGCUGACGCCUGCCCAGUGCCGGAAGGUUAAAGAAAUUGGUUAAAUGCUGAUAACUGAAGCCCCGGUGAACGGCGGCCGUAACUCUAGCGAAAUUCCUUGUCACGUAAGUUGUGACCCGCACGAAAGGCGUAAUCAAAGAAAUACUGUCUCGGAGAGAGACUCGGUGAAAUAGACAUAUCCGUGAAGAUGCGGAUUUCUAAUAGUUGGACAGAAAGACCCCGGAAGCUUGACUGUAUCUUGAUAUUGGUUUCCAGUUGUUUUUGCGCAGCCUAGGUGGGAGGCUAAGAAAUUAAAUUCGUGGAUUUAAUGGAGCCAUCAUUGAGAGACCACUCUGAAGCAACUAGAAUUCUAAGAGUGAUUCCUUGAAGCAGGACACUUGACAGUGUCAGGUGGGCAGUUUUUUUGGGGCGAAAUUCUCCUAAAAAGUAACGGAGAUUUGCAAAGGUUUCCUCAAACUGGACGGAAAUCAGUUGUUGAGUGUAAAGGCAAAAGGAAGCUUGACUGCAAGACCUAUAAGUCGAGCAGAGGCGAAAGCCGGCCUUAGUGAUCCGACGGUAUACCCUGUGGAAGGGCCGUCGCGCAAAAGAUAAAAGUUACUCUGGGGAUAACAGGCUAAUCUUCCCCAAGAGUUCACAUCGACGGGAAGGUUUGGCACCUCGAUGUCGACCUUUCGCAACCUGGGGCGGUAGUACGUCCCAAGGGUUGGGCUGUUCGCCCAUUAAAGCGGAACACGAGUUGGGUUCAGAACGUAAACUCAUUGCCGUGAGACAGUUUGGUCCAUAUCCGCUAUUAGCGUUAGAAUAUUGAGAGGAUGUUUCCAUAAUACGAGAGGACUUGGAAGCACAGACCACUGGUGUACCAGUUCUUGUACCAACGGGAAAUGCUGGGUAGCUAUGUCUGGAGAAGAGAACCGCUGAAGGCAUCUAAGUGGGAAGCUCACCUCGAGAUGAUUAUUCUCUAUCAGACUCUGGCAAGAGAAGCCGGUAGAUAGGUUUCAGGUGUAAGAUUUGUAAGAGUUUUAGCCGAGAAAUACUAAUGAUCGAUUGUUUUUGAU